rnacentral:rRNA from 1 species
UACGUAGGGUGCAAGCGUUAAUCGGAAUUACUGGGCGUAAAGCGUGCGCAGGCGGUUUUGUAAGUUUGUCGUGAAAUCCCCGGGCUUAACCUGGGAAUUGCGAUGAAGACUGCAAGGCUAGAAUCUGGCAGAGGGGGGGGUAGAAUUCCACGUGUAGCAGUGAAAUGCGUAGAGAUGUGGAGGAACACCGAUGGCGAAGGCAGCCCCCUGGGUCAAGAUUGACGCUCAUGCACGAA